UGGGGAAUAUCGCGCAAUGGGCGGAAGCCUGACGCAGCGACGCCGCGUGAGGGAUGACGGCCUUCGGGUUGUAAACCUCUUUCAGAAGGGACGAAUGUAGACGGUACCUGUAGAAGAAGCACCGGCCAACUACGUGCCAGCAGCCGCGGUAAUACGUAGGGUGCGAGCGUUGUCCGGAAUUAUUGGGCGUAAAGAGCUCGUAGGCGGUCUGUCGCGUCGAAUGUGAAAACCCGGGGCUCAACUCCGGGCUUGCAUUCGAUACGGGCAGGCUAGAGUUCAGUAGGGGAGUCUGGAAUUCCUGGUGUAGCGGUGAAAUGCGCAGAUAUCAGGAGGAACACCGGUGGCGAAGGCGGGACUCUGGGCCGAUACUGACGCUGAGGAGCGAAAGCGUGGGGAGCAAACA
rnacentral:rRNA from 1 species